rnacentral:lncRNA from 1 species
AUUGUGUCCUUUACUUUGUACAUACCCAAUUAUAAUAUUUUAUUUUGCUAAUACAAUGUAGCCUUCAAUUUAAACCAAGGUUUGCAUCCAUUAAUUAUGUUAGGUUCAUAUGACUUCACUACAUAAAUAGGUAGAUAAUGCAUAAGACUGAGAUUGUAGCUAGGGAUGAAAAUCUAAAUACGGCAUGAAUCUAACAAUUAUGAGUAAUGUCUUUGUGACAAGAACUUUCUUUGUCUUUUAUUCCCAUGUUUGAACUAGUAUAGGUCAGGGUUACACAUUAUGGUGCACAUCACUUUAUUUGUCAUCGUUACAUUGAACACUCAUUGACUAAACAACGAUGAUCCAUCCGUCUUGUAUUACAGGUCUUCAUUUCAUUGGCCACCGAUGCUUGUAAGACUACUCCCAGAUGGUUGUUGUUGUGGAUAUGGUUGUUGAGGUUGGUGUGGUUGCUGGGGGAAUGGUUGUUGGGGUUGCUGGGAAAUUGUUUGUUCUAGUUGCUGGGAUAAUUGUUGUUGGGGCUGCAGAAAUGGUUGUUGUGGUUGUUGUGGUUGCAGGAUGGAGGGUUGCUGGGAAAAUGGUUGUUGCGGUCGUAGGGGGAAUGGUUGUUGUGGUUGUAGAGGGAAAGGUUGUUGUGGUUGUUGAGGGAAUGGUUGUUGUGGUUGUUGGGGGAAUGAUUGUUGUGGUUGCAGGGGGAAUGGUUGUUGUGGUUGCUGGGGGAANNNNNNNNNNNNNNNNNNNNNNNNNNNNNNNNNNNNNNNNNNNNNNNNNNNNNNNNNNNNNNNNNNNNNNNNNNNNNNNNNNNNNNNNNNNNNNNNNNNNNNNNNNNNNNNNNNNNNNNNNNNNNNNNNNNNNNNNNNNNNNNNNNNNNNNNNNNNNNNNNNNNNNNNNNNNNNNNNNNNNNNNNNNNNNNNNNNNNNNNNNNNNNNNNNNNNNNNNNNNNNNNNNNNNNNNNNNNNNNNNNNNNNNNNNNNNNNNNNNNNNNNNNNNNNNNNNNNNNNNNNNNNNNNNNNNNNNNNNNNNNNNNNNNNNNNNNNNNNNNNNNNNNNNNNNNNNNNNNNNNNNNNNNNNNNNNNNNNNNNNNNNNNNNNNNNNNNNNNNNNNNNNNNNNNNNNNNNNNNNNNNNNNNNNNNNNNNNNNNUGGUUGCAGAGGGAACGAUUGUUGGGUCUGGGGAAAUGGUUGUUGUGGUUGCCAGGAAAAUGGUUGUUGGGGCUGUGGAAAAGGUUGUUGUGGUUGUUGGGGUUGCUGGGGGAAUGGUUGUUGUGGUUGUAAGGGGGUCGGUUGUUGGGGUUGGGGAAAUAAUUGUUGUGAUUGCUGGGGAAAUUGUUGUUGGGGUGUGGAAAAUGGUUGUUGUGAUGGAUAUGGUUGCUGUGAUGGAUAUGGUUGUUGUGGAUAUGGCUGUUGUGGAAAUAGUUUUUGUUGAUGGGAAAAUGAUUGUUGAGGUGAUUGUAACUCUUUGUUGUUAGGGUUUAGUUGCCUAGCGGCAAUGGCGGUGUUCAUCGCCAUGGCAAGGAGGACAAAGAUGAGGAAGGUCUUCAUGUUGGAUUUGUGGUUACUACUGCUUGCUUGCCUUUGAUGCUUGUGGUCUAGGUGUGUGAAGUUUUGUUGAUGGAAGGUGUCCUUGGUGGUGCAUGUGUAUUUAUAGUUUUCAUGGCAUGGCUUGCUUUCAUCUUUGCACUCGCUCUUUGAAAAAGUGCAUCAAUGCUUAUCCAACUAAUCAUUUGGUUUGUUGUGUUUGGUGCAACUACUUACUAGUGAGAUUUUGGAUUUUCAUGAUAGUUGUUUUUUGUUGAAAUCAUCUGGUUGUAAGGAAUGUUGGAUAAUGACCAAUGACUCAUCUUCUUCACUUUACACUGCAAACAUUGAUCUAGAUUAUGUCCCUUUUUGAAAUUUAGUUUGUGGAGCUCUACAUGUUGUUAGGCUUAUCCAUAUUGGCAUAGCUUGAGUGGAGCUAAGUUUGUAAGCUUGUGUGCGCCAUUAUGAUGGAUCACACUAUUAAUGUGAUGAUUGUUUUACAAAUUAUCUUUCCAAAACUAACUUUAUGUUUUUUGCCCAAUAUGAUUCUAAGACGGAUAACCAGACAUGACUCAUCAAAUAACAAGAUAAACCGAGUAGCAAGUUGGGGGUUAUAAGUUAUAAUAUGGACUUUUCUCUAAGAUACACCAUCUUGUCUUGCAUGCUCUGUGGAUUUGAAAAGCAUCUACUAAUUUAGAUGCAAUUGAAACAAAAGUAGACUAAAAAGGUAAGCAAUGAAAUGAGAAUACUAUUAUGUGAAGCUCUACAUGUCUGGUAAGCAGUGAGAUACUGGAUACAUCUAUAUCUUCAAUCCUUUCAUCCCUAUCAACUCUUUAUUGGCUGCUUUUAUCGUAGUCAUCCCUUAAAUAAAAAUCACUUAAAUAUAAGUUUGGGAGUUAGUACCAACAUAUAUCAUGUACAAGAUAGAAAACUAAGGCACAUAUAGUAGUCUAUUGACCAUAUUUAAUUUCUUGUGAUGUGAAAGCAUGUGGAGUAUAAGUUGGUUAAAUAUAAAGUUGUCCUUCAUACCAGUAGGGAAAGAAUAUGCAGUAUAAAGAUUAGAGCAUUGGACUAAUAUGCUAUUAAAUGCUACAGGAUAAUUGACAGUUCAAGUUAAGAACAACAUUAGCAUUCCAACUUUUGUCUUGUGCAAGUUAAGAACAUGCUAACAAAGUAACCUAAGCAAAUAAGUGCAAAACCUUCACCUAUAAGGAAAUUGUGAAACUACACAAAAUGACCUAUUGUAAAGAAGGAAAAAAAUCUAAAGGUGAAUGAAAGAACGUUAAGUACAUUCAGGAUUCGAUUAUGCCUUCAUGGAUAACCUUUUAGAUGGUGACAUGUCCAUGUUGAUGUGUGUCGGCAUGGAACGAGGACAAGAAGACGUCGUUGCGUCGUACUUUGGGAAUUUCAUCAAACUGGUUGUGUGCGGGAACAAAUAUUUGUCGCCUCCCUGCUCAAAUCUCUCUUCAUGUCACUGAAUCCGACACUCCACCUACCAAAAUCAGCUGCAAGCCAGGGAUAAUCAACGGGUUUCUCCGCCCGUAGCAUCUAUCACCAAAAGUAGUUCAGACUAUAGUCUUGUAGUUCAAAAUUUUGUAAUAACAAGCACUACUAGGUUGCUUUUGUUUGUACGUCUUCAUUCUGUACAACCCAUGGAACUAAAAAUGCAUUGGUCAUUCUUUGUUCUAUACAACCAAUUCAACCAAAAAUGCAUUGGGCUUUUCUUUGUACAUCUUCGGGUUCUACAACCAAUGCAACAAAAAAUCCAUUGGGUAGUCUUCCAUUCUAGUCGGGCACCAACAGUUAAAUGAGGAGCUAAACAAUGUUGGAGUCUAAAACUACAUACAAUCAUGAAGCAUAGAGAGGCGACUUGGAAGCUGUGCUCCUGUGAGCUCGUAUUUUUGUAGACAAAAAGUAAUGUUUGUAUUUUGAAGUGGGAAAAAAUCCUAAAAAGGGAUGUUUUGCGGGUUAUAACUUACUAUUUUUGGGUCCUGGGCUGCAGGAAGGUCGUCAAAAUCAAUGUGUUUUCCCAUUCAAUGCAUGUUUCUUGGGUUAUAGGUCACGCUUUUGGUGUCCUAGGGAGAUCACUUCCCCGGUCAAGAACAUUAGGUGAUGAUUUUUAGAAAAACUCAUUGUUUUAGCCUAACUAGUUUCGAGGAUUGGUGGACGGGAUUAUCAUGGAACAAAGUGACAACCUUCCUUUUCUUCAUGCCUAAUAUAAACUUAGCAGUCAGCUAAAAGUAACUAGCGAUAUCACAGAAUGUUUUUUGUCAAAAGUAGAUACCACUUCAGGAUUCAACUCGGUUAGUUCAAUCACAGACAUGUUAAGAGCAGGAUUUACAACUAACUGCAUAGGGAACAUCUCCUUUUAUCACCCACUAUCUGUCUGUGCACUUUGGUUUUCCCGUAGCAUCACACAAAGCACUUUGUUAGUACCAAUAAUGUGCUCCAACUCUACACAUUAAUCAUCUUGAAUUCUUCUACUGAUGUCGAACAAUGUAAUAUCUUGAAUUCUUCUAACGAGUUCGGAUUAGACUACAUGGGCAAUUUAUCUGGUCCCUGAGAUGCAAGGUCGAUGAACAAUCGCUUCGUCUUAUGACGAGGGGUUGUUUUUGCCUAAGAAACUAAUACAUGUAACUUCGACACCGGAUUAAUAAAUGGUAAAACCUAAAUAAAUUAGAUCACGAGCUAAACCAUUUACUUUUGUAUGCAUUUAAACUUUUGAUACAUAUGAGCUUGUUAAGAUGUUCGCAUAAACACCAUGGUGAUUUGAAGCAAGACAAAGUAAACUUGAACCGCUUGAGCCACUGACUUAAUAAGAACCUCCUUUCCCGCGGCAGAGAUUGUUUUUAAUACAUCCACUCACUUUGGCCCAUAGUUUGUCUUUGAGAUACUUAAAAGCACUAGACAUAGAAUUGACAAUAUUAGAAGGCAAGCCCAAAUAUUUCACAUUUAGUGUUUCUACUUGGACACUGAGACCACCUUUGACCUCAUUUUUGACAUUCUCUCUGCAAUCCUUGCUGAGAAACACUGAAGGCUUCCUAUUUAUUUAUUCUUGACCUAAAGCUUCAUUGCGUCUUGCCUUGGUCUUGCACUACUUGCGGCACAAUACGCCUUUGGAACUGCCGUUCCGAAUUCAGAGUGCCGAAGGUGGUGUGACGAUGUUGAGAUACCGUACUCGUUCGGUAGUGAUUCGGGUUGAUCAUUCAGAGUAGACUUUGACAAUAGCUGCAAGGACAAGAUUGCAUUAGGGAGCCUUUUAAUUACACCUCGGAGGUGCUCAGCAUCUUCUUGAUGAACAACAUGGUCCUAGUGUUGAAUAAUAUCAUAUGGGGUAGUGCUACAACAACUCCACCACAAGCAUGGAGGAAUUUAGCAAAUUCCAUCAGUACUAGGAGAAAGCCUAGUAGCAACGCGAGGUAAAGGACUACUAGUAGCGCGGGUGCCCACGCUACUACUAGGGUGCUACAGCUAAUUGGUAGUAGUAGCGUGGGUGACACCCUGCGCUACUACCACGUCUGUUAGUAUAGUAGCGCGAGUGUCACCCGCACUACUACUAGUUAUCUGUAGCCCGGGUCUGACCCCACGCUACUACUAACUAAUUAGGAAUUAAAAAAAUAAAUUCCAUCCAUGGUUGCUGCUGCUGGGCGUCAUCGUCCUCUCCGUCCAUGGCUGAUGUUGGUCCUGGAGGGGAUGACGUCGUCCAUGGUGAUGGUACUUCCUCACCCAAAUCGUCCCCACACCUCUCCUAUGCUACUGCUACAAAAUAAGAGAAAACGAUUAGAAGAGGAAGAGAGAUAUUGAGAGGAGUAGGAGGAGCAACUGACCGGUGGCCGCCGGAGUUGGAGCUGAUGCCCGAAACCCUAGACGAUGCCCGGUGACCUGUUGCUUCUUUUCCUGGGACCUCAUGUCCUCACAAGGCCAUGUCUCAGCGAGGAAGUGCAAGUGGUUGCGUAGCAGAUCUGUUCAUCGCCAUUGGUGGCGCUCUGUUGGAUCUUCCUCUCCUUCCAGCAUCGGAGAAGGAGGAGGAAGGAGGCGAAGGUGAGGCGUAAGUCAGUGGCCCAAAAUUUUUAUAUAGAUGAGACUUACUAAGUAAUAACCCCAUAGAAUCUAUCUAUAUAAAGAUAAAGAGGCAAUCGUGUCAGGAAGCGGGUUUUUCUUUGGCCAAAAGGUACUUAGAACUUGGAACGAGCAUGAAGAGAUUAACGAGACUUCUUUCUCUUUUGAGUUUUUCUGGCGGACCUGCCGCGCAAGAUCUUUGGUCUUCCCCUGGAACCGAUGAAAAAAAGUGGAUUGCUUCUUAUGUACUCGCUCAGCUUAAGAUGCUCGCAUAAUCCCCGUGGUAAUUUGAAGCAAUACAUAGAGUAAACUAGAACUGCUUGAGCCACUAACUUAAUGAGAACCUCCUUUCCCGUAGGAUAUAUCAUUUUUUCAAUCCAUCCAUUCACUUUGGCCCAUAGUAUGUCUUUGAGAUACUUAAAAGCAGUAGAUUAGAAUUACCAAUAUCAUAAGGCAAGCCCAAAUAUUUCUCAUUUAGUGUUUCUGUUGGACACUGAGAACACCUUUGACCUCAUAUCUAACAUUCUCUACACAACCCUUGCUGAGAAACACUGAAGACUUGCUAUUAUUUAUUCUUUGACCUGAAACUUGGCAAUAGGUUUGACACAUCUGUCGCCCCUGAACCAUUUGCCUUGAAAAACAGCAGGCUGUCAUCUGCAAAUAACAAGUGGUUAACUGAUGCCACCAAAGGAGCUACUUGGAUUCCAGUAAACUGGGAUGACUAGUCUCUAGAUUUGAGGAGGCCCGAAAGGCCAUGUACUGCUAACAGGAAAAUCAAGGUGAAUUGGAUCUUGCUGCCGUAUACCACGGGUAGGUUUGAGCUCAUCAAGUUUCUUGCUCUUGAAUAAAAUUGAAUAAGAUACAGAAGCUACCAUGCUCAUUUCUAUGGAGGCCCAUUUAACAGAGAAUCCAAAGUUGAGAUUUAUCACCUCCAAAUACGCCCAUUCAACUAGAUUAUAAGCCUUCAUCAUAUCCAAUUUUAGAGUACAAUGGUGAUGUUACAAUGACUUAUUCCUUUUCAUGAAAUGUAAGCACUCGUAGGCCACGAUUAUAUUGUCAGUGAUAAGGCGACCCGGAACAGAAGCCGACUCUUCACUCAAUAUUAUCUCCGGAAGGGCCCCUUUUAGCCGGUUAGCCAGAACUUUGGGUGUUAUUUGUAAAGUUGCAUAGGCUAAUACGACAGAACUGGCUUAGGAAAGUACCAUUUUGUACCUCAUCACUAUCCUCGCCACAAUACAAAGGACAACCAUUGUUACCUCCUCGCCGCAAAUAUCCCAAUGUUUCUCAAAGAAAUGUUCAAAGAAUCCGUCCGGGCCCAAGGCCUUCAUGCGGAACAUUUGAAACAAUACAAUUUAAACCUUGUUGUAGAAUACUUAGCGUCAAGGAAGGCAUUCAUCGCAUCACUGACCUUUACUGGAACCAAGUCAGGAAAUCAUGCAUAUUAGAAACAGUCUCAGAAGUGAAAAGCUCCGAGUAAAACUAUGUUGUGAUCUCUUCCAAUUCCUUAAGAACACUGAUAACAUCACAUUAGGUUGCUACAAUGAUUUGGUCAAAUUAUUCCGCCUUCUCAUCGAAGCCCUUAAGUGAAAGAAGCAUGUGGUCUUGUCCCCACUAAUCAGCCACUUAAUCUGAGAUCUAGUAGGCAAGAUGAGUGACGGGAAGUAGUUCGGAACAAUUUCCUCUUAUUCACUUCUAAAACAAAUUUUCGGUUUUUGUCGUUCCUAAGCCAAGGAUUUGAUAAAUAUUCAUAAAUUUUUAAAAUGUUCACCAAUAUUAAAAACAUCAUGAUUUUAAAAAACCGUGAUUUUUAAACAAAAUCAUAAAUAUGAAAAUUGCCAUUCACAAAAUUUUAAAAUAAAAUCAUGAAUUUUAAAAGAAUUUUCAAAAUUUUGAUAAAUAUCUACGAAUUUUACAACUUUGAUGAAUUUUAAAAACAAACCAUAACAAAAAAACACUAGCAAGUUCGAUCCUAAAAAAUGCCUUGCCUUCUACUAUGCGUAGCGUGCAUGGACAGCCGGACCUAGACACCCUAGACCAAAAACCCUACAUCUGGGCCAGGCCCGAGCUCCAUUUUUUGGCCCAAAGCCCAGCCCAAAAAGGCAGAAAUGGUAAGAAAUGUAUACUUUAUUCAAAAUAUAGGUAUAUUAUAUUGUUUUAGUAUCUCAAAUAAUUAUUUAAAUUGAAAAAUGUCGUUGUUCAUGUGUUUCUGGACGGGCCAAGCCAGGCUCAUGCUUGGGAUUUUUGCUUCGGGCUUUGACAACCUGGCCCGGGGUAUGAUCAAGUUCAGCAUGGCCCAGUCACACACCCUUGUACAACAUUUUGUUGUAGAGAGCGGCAAAUAUAAUUUUCCCGAUCUAAUAUUGCUCGCUAUAAGUCUAUAUCUAUACUUUUUUCUAUACCCAUACUAAUAAAGCAAGGUGCGUUUCCCCAAUUUUUUCAUUCAUUCACUGUCGAAAACAAUUAUGUUUCCUAUCCGAGGUGGUCCUAAAUUCUUAUGCGUUCAUCUGCUAAAAGAAAGGCUUUUCCGGAAUUUCUUACGUGGGUUGCGCGCUAUGGCCAGUGAAGUCAGCCCACUUAUUUUUCUGCCCAUGCAGCUCUAAAAAAUCUAUUUAACACACAGGGCAAGAAAUAGUCGGCACUUCAAACUGGAAAACAAAUAAUGGGCUAGCCAAUUUUUCUUUGUUUCUGUGUUUUAUUUCUAUUUUUAUUCUCCUUCCCCGAUUUCUUUUUUCACUUCCAAGUUUACAUUUCUUAUAGAAUUUAUUUUAUAAAUUCAAAAUUCUCAAAAAACAUAGAGAAUUUUAAAAAAAUGGAAAAUGUUCAUAACUCCAAUUUUUUUGCUAUUUAAAUUUUUUUCAGAACUUGAAUUUUUUCCCUUUUUCCGAAAAUUUUAUUGUUUUUUAAAAUUGUUAGAGAUUUCUAAAAAGAAAAUGGAAAUUUAAAAAGUCUUCCAAAUUCGAAAAAAAAUCAUGUUUUAGUGAAAUUUUCACAACUCAAAUUAUUCUUAAAAAAUACACAUUUUAAAAAGUAAGGAUUUUCAAUACAUGUUCCCGUUCUAAAAAAAUGUUGACAAAUUCAAAUAAUGUUCAUGUUUUUAUUUUAAAAGUUCGUGUUUUCAAAAAUGUUUGUAAAUUCUAAAAGAUGUUCCUAUUUCAUAUUUUGUUCAUGUUUUUCUGAAAGUGUACCUAAUUUUCAAAAAACUGUUCAGGAUUUAAAAAAUGGUUCAUGUUGCCUACAAUAUUGAGAAACUUCAUACCUUAAAAUCUCCUCGAUUGAAGGAACCAUAGAUUGAAUAAUUCAUGGGCCUUCUCUGGUGGACGAUGACGUAGCAAAACUCUUAAAUGCCCUCAAUCAAUGAAUGGAAAAAUAGCGAAUUGAGUACUUCACACCCAGCGAAACAAAGAAGCUAAAUGUUCCCUUUUUACGUGCGCACAGGGUUUUGCUUGCACAAAUAAUUCUCACUAACUUCCAAUGCAUACUAAUUUUUCUCCCAUUGCGAAGCACAAGCAUAUGUGCUAGUUUUAUCCACGGUGGUACUAAAUUUUUUUGAGUCCAUCUGCUAGAAAAAGGAAAAACAGUUUUGUCAAAAUUUUCGUACAUGGGCCGCGCGCGCUGUGGCCCAGCGAAGCUGGCCCAUUUAUUUCCGGCCGAAGCAGCUGAGAAUAAUUAUUUAACGCUUGGGGCGGCAAAUAGACAAAGUUUCGCAUAGGGCGCCAAAUAUUUGGUCGGCCCAUAUUUGUUUUCUCUCUAGUUUGUUUCUUUUUUUAUUUUCCUUUCUCCUUUUCUUAUCUCUUUACUUUUUCUUUUUUCCCUUUCAAGUUAAUUUUUCUUUUCUCCUUUUCCAUAAAUUAAAUUUUUCAAUAUUUCAGAAUUUUAGUUUUGGAUUAAAUUUUCGUAAAAUCUUCAUAAUUAUUUCUCCCCAUUUUGAAUUGUUUUUAAACUAUAAUUUUUUCUUCUUCUUCUUCCAAAAUUUAUUCAAAACUAUAGAAUAAAGUUCGCAUAUUAAUUUUUUUAUGCUUUCCAAAAUUGUUUGAUAUUUUCAAAAUAUAUUGCAUUAAAAAAUUAAAUAUUUAGAUUUUAUUGAAAUGUUAAUUCAAAGUAAUGUUUGUGUUUAAAAACAUGUUUUUCAAAAUUCUUUUCAAUGUCCAAAACACGUUUUCAUUUCCAAAAAAAAUCACGUAUUCAAAACAUGUUUGCUUUCUUAUAAUAGGUUCAUGUUUUCAAAAAACAUAAAUUUCAAAAAAAUUGUCACAUCUUAAAGAAUAUUCAAAAUAUCGUAAUUAUUACUUUAUUUUUUGAAAAAAAUCAAGAAAAACAGAAAAAAAAAUGUAUAUUAUGCUACAGUAUAUUCUUAAAAUUUCGCCCUCGCCAUUUGUUAGCAUGAGCUGUUUGUUCGAGUGGCUAGCAGCACGUGGUCGAGUUUUUGAGGUCAUGAGUUUGAUCCUUCAACUCAGUGGUUGUUUUGGAUUUUUAUUCACGCCUUACAAAUACAAGUCAUUUUGGUACCUGCCAGCGGCCUUGCCAGACUCGAACUGCCGUGCAUCCGACGUGCUAUUUGACGAUAAAAGAGAAUAUGUUGCUUGACUAUAAUUAAAAAAAUGUGGGCACAUGCCAAUAAAAGAGGAUAUGCUGGUUUGACUCUGAUUAAAAAAAUGUUGGCAAGUGAGCGUCGAAAUAAUUAAAGAGAAUAAACCCUGGUAAAGUAGGGACUACCUGGUUACGUGCUUAUUAUACCAAAGAAACGGGAUUUCCUGCAAUUAGUACUUCAACCGGUUACACCAUCAUAGGAGAGAGUAGUCGAAGCAACUAUGCCACGAAGGUCGCCGUGCUGCACAAAAUGAGGAGGCAACCGCAACCUAGACACGGAGGCAGACUCGGAGAAAAAAAAGCGCAAGUUGGGUGGUGGCCACCACUCCAGCAACCCCAUCAAUAUCAAGAACUCGUGGGCCAAACAUGAUCUCAAGAACAUCGCCGGGGAGACCUUUUGAUGGACACAUCAAUUAUCUCUCCUGAUACUUCUCGUUAAAAAUAUCUUUCUAGUUCUAACGCACGGGCAUAUGUGCUAGUGAUAUAUAAAAUAUGUUGUGCCAAUGAGCACACGGGCUAGCGAGACUCGCCAUGCUUUCAUGUCAUACCGGAGUCCAAACACUCAACUGGAGGGUCCAACCUUAGCGACAGAGUCUUCUUUUGUUGGGAGAAUCUAUAUAUCCGCGAGUGUUAUAUCUCGCAUCUGGUUUACGCGCAGUGCACCUAACCACUAGGCUUUGCCUUACAUUCAUGACAGAGUAGUAAAGCUAGAUUGUUUAAGUCCACACGAGUCAAGGUUUUCAAUGUUUCUUCUCCAUUUUUUUUCAUUUUUUCAUUUUUGUUUUUAUAUUUAUUUCUGUCGGGUUUGUUUGAUCCCUUUCGAGGGCAUAAUAGAGGAACCACACCGUGGUGAUGUGGAUGGGUUUAUAGAUACCAUCACUGUAGGGGAAACGAGGAAGGUUUUCGAUGCACGAAUCACUAGCAUACAUUUUCAUGUUUUACGCUAAUUUGCAAUAUUUGCUAGUCGUUGCUUAAUUGGUUGCGGAAACUGUGGAAACCUUAGUGUUCCUGAUAUUAUUAUUUUGUUCCACGGUUUAUUCUGUGAUAACUCUAUUAGUAUGGGCGGUAUUAUUCCUAAAUGGUUAAGUCUGAACUGUACAAAGGGCCCCAUCUUUGGAGGCAUCUAUGCUUCACACCUAGCUGCGCAUUUUAACAUAGCUAUUAGGCAUUAUGAGAAGGAAGAAAAAUUGCUACCCCCUGUUUAUUUAGAUUAUAAUAGUAUGGUGGCACAUGAUUUUAUUGUUAAGAAUAAGGAAGGGGAGCUUAAAUACAAAUUGUUCUUUGAUAAACAUCAUCCUGAGACUAUUACCCUGCCUGCUCCUUCCUUGUUUGAUUUAUCUGCAGGCAAGUACCUCGUUCCAUUAGAGGCUAUUCACGCCUACCGAAACCCUACAUCAGCCAUAGAGCCAGAGUCGGAACCACAAGUUGAUUCUCCAUGACAGUCUAAUUACCAUUGGGAUCCAGAAAUGAUUGCCACCAGUGGCAAUCAGAGUCUUCUUCGCAGUACGACCCCAACUAUUACUAUGGAUAUCCGCCAGGCCAGCCGUGGCCAUAGACCAACUUAGGUCAAAAGCCUAAACUUGGGGGAGUACGUAUUUCCCGCCGACAUUACAUUCAUGUUCGCACACUCAUUGCUAGAUGUCGGUGCUCAUACUUUUUCAUUGUAUCAUCCAUACUAGUUCAUUUCCUUUUUAAGCUUUCUUCUUGUGUGUUUAAUAAACCUUAAGAAAAACCAAAAACAUUAGUUGUAGCUUUUAGCUAGUUUUAAUUUCCAUGCUCGUAGUAGUAAUUAAAAAGAAAACCCAAAAAAAAGAUUUCAUGUUCUUCUUUUGCUUGUUGGGAGCUUUCCCGUGUAAAUAGUUUUAUUUCUUUUCUUUUCUUUGGGGGUCGAUAGGAGAAGACCAUGAUUAAAUUGUUGAAGUGGCUCUUAUAUGUAUUUUUGUUGAUCUGACAAAAGAGCCCAUAUUGCCUCGACUUCUCCUGUUUAUUGAAUGCUUGCAGAUUCCAGCUUAGUCCAAUGCACGUGCACUAUUAUUAUUAUCCACAUCAUUCGGUCGUGCAAGUGAAAGGCAAUUAUGACGAUAUAUGAUGGACUGACUGAGAUGAGAAAAGCUGGUAUGAACUCAACCUGUCUUGUUUUUGUAAAUAUGAUUAGUUCAUCGUUCCUGAUUCAGCCUAUUAUGAAUAAACAUGUUUGCAAUGACAACUAGAGAUCAUAGUUUCUUGUGCCAUGCUUGAUUAGCUAGGAGCUUAUAAUGGUUUACCUUGCGUGCCAACAUGCUAUUAAAAUGGUUGUGAUGUGGUAUGAUAGGGUGGUAUCCUCCUCUGAACGAUUCGAGUGGCUUGACUUGGCACAUAUUCACGCAUGUAGUUGAAACAAAAUCAACAUAGCCUCUACGAUAUUUAUGUUCAUGGUGAAUUAUAUCCUACUCAUGCUUGCAUUCGGUGCUGAUUAAUUUUAAUGCAUGUUUAUGACUGUUGUCGCUCUCUAGCUGGUCGCUUCCCAGUCUUUUGCUAGCCUUCACCUAUACUAAGCGGGAAUACUACUUGUGCAUCCAAUCCCAUAAACCCCAAAGUUAUUCCAUAUGAGUCCACCAUACCUACCUAUUUACGGUAUCUACCUGCCGUUGCAAGUAAAUUUGUAUGUGCCAAACUCUAAACCUUCAAAUAAAUAUCAUGUUUUGUAUGCUCGAAUAGCUCAUGUAUCAACUAGGUUUGUCUGUAUCUUUCAUGUUAGGCGGGUUAUUCUCAAGAGGAGUGGACUCCGCUCCUCACUCGCGAGAAAAUGGCUGGUCACCCGGAUGCCUAGUCCCAUGCUUUAUGCAAAUCAAAUCAAAAUAAUUGCAAACAAAAUUGCCCCUGGGACUCUUGUUAGUUGGAGGCACUCGUUGUUUCGAGCAAGCCAUGGAUUGAUGCUUGUUGGUGGAGGGGGGGUAUAAAAUUUUCCAUUCUGUUUGGGAACCGCCUAUAAUGUGUGUAGCAUGGAAGAUAUCACCAUCUCUUGGUUGUUAUGUUGACAAUGAAAGUAUACCGCUCAAAAUAUUAUUUACCUCUAUUUCAAAAUCGAGCUCUGGCACCUCUACAAAUCCCUGCUUCCCUCUGCGAAGGGCCUAUCUAUUUACUUUUAUGUUGAGUCAUCAUCCUCUUAUUAAAAUGCACCAGUUGGAGAGCACCGUUGUCAUUUGCAUUCAUUACUAUUAUUUUACAUUGAAUAUGACUUGACUGGAUCUCUUUUACCAUGAAUUACAAUGUCUAGUCAGUCCUUGAUCUUUAAAGGUGCUCUACAUUUAUGUUUUGCGGUCUCAGAAAGGGCUAGCGAGAUACCAUCUUGUUAUAUCAUAUCAUGAUUGUUUUGAGAAAGUGUUGUCAUCCGAGAUUUAUUGUUAUUGCUCGCUAGUUGAUUAUGCCAUUGAUAUGAGUAAACAUGAUACAUAAAUGUUAUUGGAAUAUGGUUAGUUCAUAAUCUUUGCUGAAAACUUGAAUGCUGGCUCUACAUAUUUACAACAACAAGAGCAAACAGAGUUUGUAAAAGUUUUUCUUUAUCACUUUCAGUUUAUCAACUGAAUUGCUUGAGGACAAGCAAAGGUUUAAGCUUGAGGGAGUUGAUACGUCUCCGUCGUAUCUACUUUUCCAAACACUUUUGCCCUUGUUUUGGACUCUAACUUGCAUGAUUUGAAUGGAACUAACCCGGACUGACGUUGUUUUCAGCAGAAUUGCCAUGGUGUUAUUUUUGUGCAGAAAUAAAAGUUCUCGGAAUGACCUAAAAAUCAAAGGAGAAUUAUUUUGAAAUAUAUAAAAAAUAUUGGAAGGAAGAUCCACGUCAGGGGGGCCUCCACCUGUCCACGAGGGUGGAGAGCGUGCCCUACCCCCCUGGUGCUACCUCUUGAGCACUGCGUUGGUUUUCCCUUGAAGAGGAAAGGGUGAUGCAGUAAAGUAGUGUAAGUAUUUCCCUCAGUUUUUGAGAACCAAGGUAUCAAUCAAGUAGGAGAUCACGCUCGAGUCCCGCGCACCUACACAAACAAAUAAGAACCUCGCAACCAAUGCAAUAAAGGGGUUGUCAAUCCCUUCACGGUCACUUACGAGAGUGAGAUGUGAUAGAUAGGAUAAGAUAAUAUUUUUGGUAUUUUUAUGAUAAAGAGAAAUAAAGAUGCAAAGUAAAAUAAACAGCAAUAGAAAUAACUAAGUAUCACCUGGGCGCACCCCCCUGCCUCGUGGACCCCCUGACGCUCCACCGACCUCAACCCUGACUCCAUAUAUUCACUUUCGGGGAGAAAAAAACCAGAGAGAAAGAUUCAUCAUGUUUUACGAUAUGGAGCCGCCGCCAAGCCCUAAACUCUCUCGGGAGGGCUGAUCUGGAGUCUGUUCGGGGCUCCGGAGAGGGGAAUCCGUCGCCAUCGUCAUCAUCAACCUUCCUCCAUCACCAAUUUCAUGAUGCUCACCGCCGUGCGUGAGUAAUUCCAUCGUAGGCUUGCUGGACGGUGAUGGGUUGGAUGAGAUUUAUCAUGUAAUCAAGUUAGUUUUGUUAGGGUUUGAUCCCUAGUAUCCACUAUGUUCUGAGAUUGAUGUUGCUAUGACUUUGCUAUGCUUAAUGCUUGUCACUAGGGCCCGAGUGCCAUGAUUUCAGAUCUGAACCUAUUAUGUUUUCAUCAAUAUAUGAGUGUUCUUGAUCCUAUCUUGCAAGUCUAUAGUCACCUACUAUGUGUUAUGAUCCGGCAACCCCGAAGUGACAAUAAUCGGGACCACUCCUGGUGAUGAUCGUAGUUUGAGGAGUUCAUGUAUUCACUAUGUGUUAAUGCUUUGGUCUGGUACUCUAUUAAAAGGAGGCCUUAAUAUCCCUUAGUUUCCGCUAGGACCCUGCUGCCACGGGAGGGUAGGACAAAAGAUGUCAUGCAAGUUCUUUUCCAUAAGCACGUAUGACUAUAUUCGGAAUACAUGCCUACAUUACAUUGAUGAAUUGGAGCUAUUUCUGUGUCACCCUAGAUUAUGACUGUUACAUGAUGAACCGCAUCCGACAUAAUUCUCUAUCACCAAUCCAUUGCCUACGAGCUUUCCAUAUAUUGUUCUUUGCUUAUUUACUUUUCCGUUGCUAUUGCUAUCAUCACUAUAAAACAACAAAAACAUUACUUUUGCUAUCGUUACCUUUUGCUACCGUUACCACUACUAUCAUAUUACUUUGCUACUAAACACUUUGCUGGAGAUAUUAAGUUUCCUGGUGUGGUUGAAUUGACAACUCAGCUGCUAAUACUUGAGAGUAUUCUUUGGCUCCCCUUGUGUCGAAUCAAUAAAUUUGGGUUCAAUACUCUACCCUCGAAAACUGUUGCGAUCCCCUAUACUUGUGGGUUAUCAUUGCUCCUGCAGCGGGUCUUGCACCUAGCGGUGCUUCUAGGACGUAAUUCUUCUGUGUAGCAAUGAGGAUAAUUCUCAAGUUAUGGACCCAGUCCGUGUAGUUGCUACCAUCAUCUUUCAACUUAGCUUUCUCUACGAACGCAUUAAAAUUCAAAGGAACAGUAGCAGGGGCCAUUGAUCUACAAUAACAUAGACAUGCAAAAUACUAUUAGGUGCUAAGUUCAUGAUAAAUUAAAGUUCAAUUAAUCAUAUUACUUAAGAACUCCCACUUAGAUAGACAUCCCUCUAGUCAUCCAAAUGAUCACGUGAUCCAUAUCAACUAAACCAUGUCUGAUCAUCACGUGAGAUGGAGUAGUUUCAAUGGUGAACAUCACUAUGUUGAUCAUAUCUACUAUAUGAUUCACGCUCGACCUUUCGGUCUCAGUGUUCCGAGGCCAUAUCUGCAUAUGCUAGGCUCGUCAAGUUUAACCCGAGUAUUCUGCGUGUGCAAAACUGGCUUGCACCCGUUGUAUGUGAACGUAGAGCUUAUCACACCCGGUUAUCACGUGGUGUCUCGGCACGAUGAACUAUAGCAAUGGUGCAUACUCAGAGAGAACACUUGUACCUUGAAAUUUAGUGAGAGAUCAUCUUAUAAUGCUACCGCCGUACUAAGCAAAAUAAGAUGCAUAAAGGAUAAACAUCACAUGCAAUCAAAAUAAGUGAUAUGAUAUGGCCAUCAUCAUCUUGUGCCUUUGAUCUCCAUCUCCAAAGAACCGUUAUGAUCACCAUCAUCACCGGCUUGACACCUUGAUCUCCAUCGUAGCAUCGUUGUCAUCUCGCCAACUAUUGCUUCUACGACUACCGCUACCGCUUAGUGAUAAAGUAAAGCAAAAACAAGUGUGAUGUCCUCUACUUUGUUGUUGCAAGUUUUACGUGGCUGCUACGGGCUUCUAGCAAGAACCGUUCUUAUCUACGCCUCAAAACCACAACAAUUUUUCGUCAAGUGUGUUGUUUUAACCUUCAACAAGGAUCGGGCGUAGUCAAACUCGAUUCAACUAAAGUUGGAGAAAUAGACACCCACUAGCCACCCGUGUGUGAAGCACCUCGGUAGAACCAGUCUCAUGAACGCGGUCAUGUAAUGUCGGUCUGAGCCACUUCAUCCAACAAUACCGCCAAAUCAAAGUAAGACGUUGCUGGUAAGAAGUAUGACUAUUAUCGUCCACAACUCAUUGUGUUCUACUCAUGCAUAUAACAUCUACGCAUAGACCUGGCCCGGAUGUCACUGUUGGGAAACGUAUUAUUUCAAAAAAAAAUCCUACAAUCACGCAAGAUAUAUCUAGGAGAAGCAUAGCAAUGAGCGGGGAGAGUGUGUCCACGUACCCUCGUAGACCGAAAGCGGAAGCAUUUAGUAACACGGUUGAUGUAGUCGAACGUCUUUGCGAUCCAACCAAUCCAAACACCUAACGUACGGCACCUCCGCAUUCAGCACACGUUCAGCUCGAUGACAUCCCUCGAGCUCUUGAUCUAGUUGAGGCCGAGGGAUAGUUCCGUCAUCGCGAUGGCGUGGCGACGGUGAUGAUGAAGUUACCGGCGCAGGGCUUCGCCUAAGCACUACGACGAUAUGACCGAGGUGUGUAACUGUGGAGGGGGGCACCGCACACGGCUAAGAGAAACUUGUGUCUUUGGGGUGCCCCCUCCCACGUAUAUAAAUGGAGGGAGGAGGCCGGCCCAAGGGGGGGCGCCACAUGUGGGGAGUCCUACUAGGACUCCCUUGUCCUAGUAGGAUUCCCCUCUCCUUUCCUUUUACGGAGGGGGAAAGGGGGGAAGGAGAGGAGGGGAAGAGGGAAAGGGGGGCACGCCCCCUCCCCUUCCUAUUCGGACUCCACUUGGGGGGGACGCGCACGCCUCCCCCUUGUGGGUUGUCCCCUCUUCUCUCCCAUGGCCCAUAAGGCCCAUGAUUUCCCCCAGGGGGUUCCCGUAACCUCCCGGUACUCCGAAAAAAUUCCCGAAUCACUCGGAAUCAUUCCGAUGUUCAAAUGCAACCUUACAAUAUAUGAAUCUUUACCUCUCAACCAUUUUCGUGAUCUCAUCUGGGACUCCGAACAAACUUCAGUCAUCAAAUCACAUAACUCAUAAUACAAAUUGGCAUCGAACGUUAAGUGUGUGGACCCUACGGGUUUGAGAACUAUGUAGACAUGACCGAGACACAUCUCCGGUCAAUAACCAAUAGCGGAACCUAGAUGCUCAUAUUGGCUCCUACAUAUCUACGAAGAUCUUUAUCGGUCAAACCGCAUAACAACAUACGUUGUUCCCUUUGUCAUAUGUAUGUUAUUUGCCCGAGAUUCGCUCGUCGGUAUCCUCAUACCUAGUUCUAUCUCGUUACCGGCAAGUCUCUUUACUUGUUCCAUAAUGCAUCAUCUGGUAACUAACUCAUUAGUCACAUUGCUUGCAAGGCUUAUAGUGAUGUGCAUUACCGAGAGGGCCCAUAUAUACCUCUCUGAUACACGGAGUGACAAAUCCUAAUCUCGAUCUAUGCCAACUCAAGAAACACCAUCGGAGACACCUGUAGAGCAUCUUUAUAAUCACCCAGUUACGUUGUGAUGUUUGAUAGCACACUAAGUGUUCCUCCGGUAUUCGGGAAUUGCAUAAUCUCAUAGUCAUAGGAACAUGUAUAAGUCAUGAAGAAAGCAAUAGCAAUAAAAUUAAACGAUCAUUGUGCUAAGAUAACGGAUGGGUCUUGUCCAUCACAUCAUUCUCUAAUGAUGUGAUCCCGUUCAUCAAAUUACAACACAUGUCUAUGGUUAGGAAACUUAACCAUCUUUGAUUAACGAGCUAGUCUAGUAGAGGCAUACUAGGGACACUCUGUUUGUCUAUGUAUUCACACAUGUACUAAGUUUCCGGUUAAUACAAUUUUAGCAUGAAUAAUAAAGAUUUAUCAUGAUAUAAGGAAAUAUAAAUAACAACUUUAUUAUUGCCUCUAGGGCAUAUUUCCUUCAGGAAGAGCAUUGCGGGUGGGAGGGAGAAGGGGAAUUAAGAGAGUGUAGGUUUCGGUUUGGGCCUCCGCGCGCUAUGUGUACACAUGUGUUGGUGGGUCAAUAGUAGUGGCGCCAGGUUUAUACCCCACACUACUACUAUGGCCUAUCCCGGGGGUACGAUAGAGACCACUUAGUAGUAGCGAGGGAUUUAUACCCCUCGGUACUACUAUCAACUUAGUACUAGUGAGGGAUUUAUACCCCUUGCUACUACUAUCAACUUAGUAGUAGUGAGGGAUUUAUACCCCUCGAUACUACUAUGGCCAGUCCCGGGGGGCACGGUGGAGACCACUUAGUAGUAGUGUGGGGUUUAUACCGCUCGCUACUACUAUCAACUUAGUAGUAGCGUGGGUUCUAUACCCCUCUCUACUAAUAAUUAGCAGCAGUGUGGCCCAUAUACCCCUUGCUACUGUUAAGCAUCUAUCUAUAAAUUAUUUUCUAGUAGUGCAUCAAUGGCGGCGAAAUCAGUCAUUCUGCUUGUUUUCCCUACUAGCUCUCUGACGUCCAGAACAAGUUUACGGUCAUAAGGUGCAAUGCCCUUGCCUUCAUGAGUGACACGAUGACACGGGAACGGGCUUCCAAGCCUAUGGUGUCGCAUCGUGUCGUGGUCUGCUAAACUUAGUGGACGGAUGCUACUCCAAUAUCGGUUGAUCCUAUACUACGGUACCAAGGAAGACACGCAACUACUAUAUAUAUUUCUUCAAGUCAGUCAACACAAGUAAACUCUGGGAGUUCAACUGGUGCAGCUAUGCAAUGCUAAUGGAGACAACACAAUUCAACUUUAGCACUUCACACAUAAGAAAAACCACGUUCAAUGGCACACACCUUAGAGUGUACCUAUGGUGGUUGAAUGGGCUAUAAGAAAUGUGAGUCCAUGUGAAGAUGCCAAACAUAAUAACACGGCUAAUUACACAUGCAGUGGCAGCAGCAACAAGUGCGUGAAUUCAACAAAUGAUCUAGGGUACACAUGCAACGGUGUCCUUGAGUAUGACAACAACCCUUAUCUUCUAGACAAAUGCAUGGUAUGCUACUAAUUUAUUUGCUACAAAUUCCAAUGAAUUGUGUCCUUUGCUUUGUACAUACCCAAUUAUAAUAUUUUAUUAUGCUAAUACAAUGUAGCCUUCAAUUUAAACCAAGGUUUGCAUCCAUUAAUUAUGUUAGGUUCAUAUGACUUCACUACAUAAAUAGGUAGAUAAUGCAUAAGACUGAGAUUGUAGCUAGGGAUGAAAAUCUAAAUACGGCAUGAAUCUAACAAUUAUGAGUAAUGUCUUUGUGACAAGAACUUUCUUUGUCUUUUAUUCCCAUGUUUGAACUAGUAUAGGUCAGGGUUACACAUUAUGGUGCACAUCACUUUAUUUGUCACCGUUACAUUGAACACCCAUUGACUAAACAACGAUAAUCCAUCCGUCUUGUAUUACAGGUCUUCAUUUCAUUGGCCACCGAUGCUUGUAAGACUACUCCCAGAUGGUUGUUGUUGUGGAUAUGGUUGUUGAGGUUGGUGUGGUUGCUGGGGGAAUGGUUGUUGGGGUUGCUGGGAAAUUGUUUGUUCUAGUUGCUGGGAUAAUUGUUGUUGGGGCUGCAAAAAUGGUUGUUGUGGUUGCAGGAUGGAUGGUUGCUGGGGUUGGGGCUGGGGAAAUGAUUGUUGUGAUUGUUGGGGUUGCUGGGAAAAUGGUUGUUGCGGUUGAAGGGGGAAUGGUUGUUGUGGUUAUAGAGGGAAAGGUUGUUGUGGUUGUUGAGGGAAUGGUUGUUGUGGUUGUUGNNNNNNNNNNNNNNNNNNNNNNNNNNNNNNNNNNNNNNNNNNNNNNNNNNNNNNNNNNNNNNNNNNNNNNNNNNNNNNNNNNNNNNNNNNNNNNNNNNNNNNNNNNNNNNNNNNNNNNNNNNNNNNNNNNNNNNNNNNNNNNNNNNNNNNNNNNNNNNNNNNNNNNNNNNNNNNNNNNNNNNNNNNNNNNNNNNNNNNNNNNNNNNNNNNNNNNNNNNNNNNNNNNNNNNNNNNNNNNNNNNNNNNNNNNNNNNNNNNNNNNNNNNNNNNNNNNNNNNNNNNNNNNNNNNNNNNNNNNNNNNNNNNNNNNNNNNNNNNNNNNNNNNNNNNNNNNNNNNNNNNNNNNNNNNNNNGAAUGGUUGGUGGGGAAUUAUUUGUUCUGGUUGCUGGGGAAUUAUUUGUUCUGGUUGCUGGGGGAAUGGUAGUUGGGGUUGGGGAAAUGGUUGUUGGGGUUGCUGGGGGAAUGGCUGUUGUGGUUGCAGAGGGAACGAUUGUUGGGUCUGGGGAAAUGGUUGUUGUGGUUGCCAGGAAAAUGGUUGUUGGGGCUGUGGAAAAGGUUGUUGUGGUUGUUGGGGUUGCUGGGGGAAUGGUUGUUGUGGUUGUAAGGGGGUCGGUUGUUGGGGUUGGGGAUAUAAUUGUUGUGAUUGCUGGAGAAAUUGUUGUUGGGGUGUGGAAAAUGGUUGUUGUGAUGGAUAUGGUUGCUAUGAUGGAUAUGGUUGUUGUGGAUAUGGCUGUUGUGGAAAUGGUUGUUGUUGAUGGGAAAAUGAUUGUUGAGGUGAUUGUAACUCUUUGUUGCUAGGGUUUAGCUGCCUAGCGGCAAUGGCGGUGUUCAUCGCCAUGGCAAGGAGGACAAAGAUGAGGAAGGUCUUCAUGUUGGAUUUGUGGUUACUACUGCUUGCUUGCCUUUGAUGCUUGUGGUCUAGGUGUGUGAAGUUUGGUUGAUGGAAGGUGUCCUUGGUGGUGCAUGUGUAUUUAUAGUUUUCAUGGCAUGGCUUGCUUUCAUCUUUGCACUCGCUCUUUGAAAAAGUGCAUCAAUGCUUAUCCAACUAAUCAUUUGGUUUGUUGUGUUUGGUGCAACUACUUACU